rnacentral:rRNA from 1 species
UGAUUUAUUUAUUUAUUAAUGGGUACAGCACUGGAUAUCUAAUAUUAUUAGAAAGGAGUAUUUAAAUACUUACUUUGGAUAUUUAAUCUCGGAAUAAUUAAUAAUUGAGAUAAGUUAUCGGACUUCUAGCGAUAAGGUGA